rnacentral:rRNA from 1 species
UACGGGGGGAGCAAGCGUUGUUCGGAUUUACUGGGCGUAAAGGGCGCGUAGGCGGUCAGCACAAGUCAGUUGUGAAAUCUCCGGGCUUAACUCGGAAAGGUCAACUGAUACUGUGCGACUAGAGUGCAAAAGGGGCAACUGGAAUUCUUGGUGUAGCGGUGAAAUGCGUAGAUAUCAAGAGGAACACCUGCGGCGAAGGCGGGUUGCUGGGCUGACACUGACGCUGAAGCGCGAAAGCCAGGGAGCGAACAGG